rnacentral:rRNA from 1 species
CAGCAGCCGCGGUAACACGAAGGGGGCUAGCGUUGUUCGGAUUUACUGGGCGUAAAGGGCGCGUAGGCGGACUGAUAAGUCAGGGGUGAAAUCCCAAGGCUCAACCUUGGAACUGCCUUUGAUACUGUUUGUCUUGAGUUCGAGAGAGGUAAGUGGAACUGCGAGUGUAGAGGUGAAAUUCGUAGAUAUUCGCAGGAACACCAGUGGCGAAGGCGGCUUACUGGCUCGAAGCUGACGCUGAGGCGCGAAAGCGUGGGGAGCAAACAGGAUUAGAUACCCCUGUAGUCCCUGUCUCUUAUAC